AGCGAACGCUGGCGGCAGGCCUAACACAUGCCAGUCGAACGGAUCCUUCGGGAUUAGUGGCGGACGGGUGAGUAACACGUGGGAACGUGCCCUUUGGUUCGGAACAACUCAGGGAAACUUGAGCUAAUACCGGAUGUGCCCUUCGGGGGAAAGAUUUAUCGCCAUUGGAGCGGCCCGCGUCUGAUUAGCUAGUUGGUGAGGUAACGGCCCACCAAGGCGACGAUCAGUAGCUGGUCUGAGAGGAUGAUCAGCCACACUGGGACUGGGACACGGCCCAGACUCCUACGGGAGGCAGCAGUGGGGAAUCUUGCGCAAUGGGCGAAAGCCUGACGCAGCCAUGCCGCGUGAAUGAUGAAGGUCUUAGGAUUGUAAAAUUCUUUCAGCGGGGACGAUAAUGACGGUACCCGCAGAAGAAGCUCCGGCUAACUUCGUG
rnacentral:rRNA from 1 species